GGCCUGAACAGUUGUACAGAACGUAGCUUACUUCAUGGUUUUUUAAUAAUAAUUAUGUUAAUUCUUAUCGAUAUUUUACUCAUCGAUACACGGAGGUGCAAUGUAUGAUGUAUCACGAAAAAGUAGCGCACUUUUUUUUUACCGAUCAUGAUGCAAGAAUUUUUGCAUCAUGAGUAGUAUUCAUGUGCGUUCAGCAGAAUUAUCGUAUGAAUUCCAUCCAUCAGUGAUCAGCUCUAAUGAUUGGGCAGAAUUGUACUUUUUUGGUAAAAUCUUGUUCAUUGCCUUGUUCGUCCAAGAUAGAGCGGCCCUAGACCGCCAGGAGCUUAUACCGGCAGUUAAUGAUGGGUUGUGCCUCCUAGACGUCCCAAGGGGCACCAACGGAAGGGUGGGGGAUUUCUUUUACUUUUACGUUAUUUUUAUACAGUGGGUAUAAUGAUUUCAGUCAGAAGUUCGCAACGCAGUGAAGGAGUAGAUCUGGAUUCCGAUUCGAUCUCGAUUCGACUUAAUCGAUUCUUUACCCCAGACCAAACAAUCGAUUCUUUUUUUUUGGGAAUCGAUUCUUUUGGCCAUGCUACAUUGGAACUUGUUGUGAAAUUCGAUGUGACACGUCUUAAAACGAAGUUGCUAGUUGGUGGCAGGACUGUGAAUGUGUAUAUGAUCUCUAAAAAAACAGAAUGAUCUAUUUUUAAAUACAAUAUCAAAACAUUAUUUUAUUAUUAUUUUUAAGAAAAUAAGAUUUGUAAGCCUUUUUUCUCUUUUGUUUUUAAUUCAACCAUUUAAGUUCUAUUAAUCGAUUAAAUCCAUUUUUGGAAGCGAAAAGAUCGAAUGGAUCGAUUGUGUAAAGUAAAUAGAAUAUUAAAAUAUACUCUUGGAAGUAUCAUGUUUUAAUGUAUCAGAAAAAAAAAAAUUUUUUUAAAUGACUUAAUGUGGAAUACUGAACAAUAUUACUCAAAUGUUUAAUAUGAAUUCCAGUCUGUGUGGUUUGUAUUAUGUGUUUGUAAUCUUACCCUGUAAAAAAGCUCGUGUUGUCUUCUUGAUAGAGCCAACACGUAAGUAGCCUUGCAAAUGAAUAUAUUUUAUAAAGUCUCAUCUUCUAAAAGGGAUUUUUUGGUGAGUCCAGAAGAGUCCAUCAAGAUCAAGAGAAACUCUAAUUGUUAGGACAUAACCUUAAAAUGGAUAAAGAAGAUUUAUUUGGCAAAUGAUACUGUGUUCAGGCCCACUGUCCGGCGAAUCUGGCCCCGCUAUCCAAUUGCACCGCUCUCCUACUGCACCGCUCUCUCGCUCUGCCGGUCUGCCGCGGAACUACGCUUAGACUUAAUCAGUUAAGUUAGAUUCUGGCAGUACAUAAGAAUAAACCGCGGUCGCUCCCCCGCCUAUUUUGUAAAGUGAA